AUUGAACGCUGGCGGCAGGCCUAACACAUGCAAGUCGAGCGGAUGAAGGGAGCUUGCUCCUGGAUUCAGCGGCGGACGGGUGAGUAAUGCCUAGGAAUCUACCUGGUAGUGGGGGAUAACGUCCGGAAACGGGCGCUAAUACCGCAUACGUCCUGAGGGAGAAAGUGGGGGAUCUUCGGACCUCACGCUAUCAGAUGAGCCUAGGUCGGAUUAGCUAGUUGGUGGGGUAAAGGCCUACCAAGGCGACGAUCCGUAACUGGUCUGAGAGGAUGAUCAGUCACACUGGAACUGAGACACGGUCCAGACUCCUACGGGAGGCAGCAGUGGGGAAUAUUGGACAAUGGGCGAAAGUCUGAUCCAGCCAUGCCGCGUGUGUGAAGAAGGUCUUCGGAUUGUAAAGCACUUUAAGUUGGGAGGAAGGGCAGUAAGUUAAUACCUUGCUGUUUUGACGUUACCAACAGAAUAAGCACCGGCUAACUUCGUG
rnacentral:rRNA from 1 species